GGCUUGCUAAUGUAGAAAAAGGGAUCCUGCAGUUGUUGCAGAGAGCUGAAUAUGAGAAACUCUCUCCUGCUCUGCACAGUUGGAACCAGAAAAUCUUUGUUACAUAAUUUCCUUACACAAGCACAGAGAUUUCAUUCUGAACUGGAGGGAGGGUGGGGGUACAGCAUACCAACUGACCAGAAUUUACACAAGCAUCUGGACACUGCACCUCUGGAACCUGCAUAAAGAAUCCAGGCACACAUACACAUCCUGUACCCGUGCUGAAAAGCUGUGUUCUCUGCUGGAUUUCAAGUAAACAAAUAUCCAAAAUGCUGGAUUCAAAAAAACUGAAAACCCCUUUGAAAGGUGUACAUAUAAAAGUGGCAUCGGGGUUCUGUUUUAACAAAUAAAUAAUACCACUUACAACAAAUAAAUAAUACCCCCGAGAUCCAAUUCUAGACCAAAUGUAUGGCACGUCCUACAUUCUCACGUCGCGAACCACUGCGAAAUGUUUAAUACUGUGCAUUAAAUAAGUGCAUUAGAAUUUAAAAAAUCGGAGCCAGGAACGCGCGGCCAGUAGAUGUAUCUUAACUGCUACAUCUUUUGUAGCUAAGGUUUCAAAAUCCAUCCCGAAACGUCACAAACCUGAUGUUAAUCGUAGCACUGUGCAGAAUUCUCCUACAGUGCUUUCCAAAAUCCUCCUAUUCACAUUCCGAAUGAGUUUCCCCUCCCCCACACAAGAUUGUUCUGGCCAAACCGCAGCCCCCUGCGCACGCGCUCUAUGAGUGGUAUAAAGUCUAUCGGAUGUCUCCUUUCUUUCGGUGUCGUCUAUGGAGAUCGAAGCCGCUUUUGAAAAUGAACAAGGGUUACUGGCGUUCUCCGUCCCGAAGUUAUUUCGCAGUCCAAAGCACGCCGGAGAUUUUUUGUUUUGAGAAAACAAAAGCGUUGGUUGGCUCUUCAUGACAUCACUUGACCGUGAGAGGAGGGUGGGCUCUGAGCUGCGAGGGGAGAGCGGCGCAAGCGGAGAAGAACCAUCUUGCUUCAAACGAGGCGACGGCGCCAUUAGAGGGCAGGGUACAACAACCGUGCAAGAGCAGUGCAGAGCGUUUCUAUUGUUUAUGGAUUUUCUGAAUGUAUUCUGUAUGCGCAAGUAUAUUUCUUUGCAAACGGAGUAUCGCUUGUUGAAGUAACGCACACAUUUUUAUUAAUAUCUGUAGUGAGGAUAUGGUGGCCGUAUAGAAGAUGGCGGCGGAGUCAACCUUUGGUUAGUGUCAAGAACGCGCAGUUAGGGGUGGGACUGCGCGAUCCCGAGAGUAGCACAGCGGAAAGCCAGCAGAAGGGGGGCACUUCCUGUUUUGACGUUUCAGUGGCUAAAAGACAAAAAGCCAUUUAAAUCUUGGCGAGCCCUUAAAGGGUGCACUUUUCCUCGUUUUGGACUCAACAUUGUUUCCGUCUUUGCUCCAGACGUCACUCUUCAACAGUUCCGUAUGGUUUGGUAAUGAUUAGCAGUUGGGGAUGUGAUCCUAUUUUCUACCAGCCUUAAAUUGGCUUUCAUUAGCUAGAUGCUCGAGUAUUUGUAACGGGGCCAGACUGGAAUUAGUGAAGGAGUAACGGGAGUGAGCAAACUUAAAAUGUUGCGGGGUUUCUCGCAAAGUACUGCAUAUGACAGACAUUCAAAUCCUUUUUGCGUUAAAAGGAUAACCGGAAACGCUGAGCUAAUCUAUUAACGUUAGUUCAUUGAAUUUUGUUGUUAUUGUGUUAUUGAUAAUAGUAACUCUAGCUUGCUAUGUUGUUUCAUUUAAUGCACAAUUCUUGCGAUGUAUUAUAACUACUUUACGUUAAAUCGCGUUAUGUCUAGACAGCUUGGAAAGAUCACGAACGAGUUCAUUAGCUAAAGUUACUGCCCGGGUCCGCCAUGUUGUCGUCCGCUGCUUCUCGUCGUGUCAUUAGUAAAUGGCGAAUGCUUUUUUUUCUGUGCCACUUGGAUGUAGCCACUAGCUAACCCAGAGCUUGAGGUUCAUUUGUGAAACCUUGACAUGGGCGUGGCAUGGACGACAUUGCACAAUCAGCCAUAAUGUUUUAGUGCAUUCGUUUUAUUUUUGAAAUACUUUGGUCGAUUUCUCAAAUUGCGACGGAAUGUUGUGUAGAUAACUAUAGAAGCUGUAUACCCCAGUAAACAAGCGUCGAUUGUGCUGUUCUGUUAAAUCGUGCUAGUUUUAAAAUGACCUAGCUCGCCAAACAUUUUUUUUUUGUAUGUUUUUUCAGGGGCUACCUUGUCCGUAUGCAGUGGUCAGUUUUGCAUAGUACUGCCAUGGUUUCCAGGCAGCAAGUCAGAUUGUUUUUGUGUGCAGCAGUUAAGAGGAUUUUGUAGUAAAGUCUUGCAUAUGAUA